GACGAACGCUGGCGGCGUGCUUAACACAUGCAAGUCGAACGAUUAAGCCAGCUUGCUGGUGGAUUAGUGGCGAACGGGUGAGUAACACGUGGGUGAUCUGCCCCAAACUUUGGGAUAAGCCUGGGAAACUGGGUCUAAUACCGAAUAUGACCGAUACUCGCAUGGGUGUUGGUGGAAAGCUCCGGCGGUUUGGGAUGGGCCCGCGGCCUAUCAGCUUGUUGGUGGGGUAAUGGCCUACCAAGGCGACGACGGGUAGCCGGCCUGAGAGGGCGACCGGCCACACUGGGACUGAGACACGGCCCAGACUCCUAUGGGAGGCAGCAGUGGGGAAUAUUGCACAAUGGGCGCAAGCCUGAUGCAGCGACGCCGCGUGAGGGAUGACGGCCUUCGGGUUGUAAACCUCUUUCACCAGGGACGAAGCGAAAGUGACGGUACCUGGAGAAGAAGCACCGGCCAACUACGUG
rnacentral:rRNA from 1 species